AUUGAAUGGCUUAGUGAGGCCUUCGGACUGGCUCAGGGAGGUCGGCAACGACCACCCAGAGCCGGAAAGUUCGUCAAACUUGGUCAUUUAGAGGAAGUAAAAGUCGUAACAAGGUUUCCGUAGGUGAACCUGCGGAAGGAUCAUUACAGAAAGUAAACGCGGAUCAAACCGCGAACUUCUAAACCUUUGACGAUUGACUCAUGUUGCCUCGGCGGGUUCUCCCGCCAGAGGAUACAUCAAAACUCCUGUUUUAACGGUGUUGUCUGAGCUACAAGCAACGAAUCAAAACUUUCAACAACGGAUCUCUUGGUUCUGGCAUCGAUGAAGAACGCAGCGAAAUGCGAUAAGUAGUGUGAAUUGCAGAAUUCAGUGAAUCAUCGAAUCUUUGAACGCACAUUGCGCCCCUUGGUAUCCCGAGGGGCAUGCCUGUUCGAGCGUCAUUUCACCACUCAAGCCUGGCUUGGUGUUGGGCGACGUCCCCUUUAGGGACGCGCCUCGAAACGCUCGGCGGCGUGGCACCGGCUUUAAGCGUAGCAGAAUCUUUCGCUUUGAAAGUCGGGGCCCCGUCUGCCGGAAGACCUACUCGCAAGGUUGACCUCGGAUCAGGCAGGGAUACCCGCUGAACUUAAGCAUAUCAAUAAGCGGAGGAAAAGAAACCAACAGGGAUUGCCUCAGUAACGGCGAGUGAAGCGGCAACAGCUCAAAUUUGAAAUCUGGCUCUUUUAGGGUCCGAGUUGUAAUUUGUAGAGGAUGCUUCGGCGUCGGCUCCGGUCUAAGUUCCUUGGAACAGGACGUCAUAGAGGGUGAGAAUCCCGUAUGUGAUCGG
rnacentral:rRNA from 1 species